rnacentral:rRNA from 1 species
GCAAUCGCCCUUCGGGGUGCACCAGGCGCGAAAACUUUACAAUGCGGGAAACCGUGAUAAGGGGACACCGAGUGCCAGCAUCAUAUGCUGGCUGUCCAGAUGUGUAAAAUACAUCUGUUAGCAAGGGCCGGGCAAGACCGGUGCCAGCCGCCGCGGUAACACCGGCGGCCCGAGUGGUGAUCGUGAUUAUUGGGUCUAAAGGGUCCGUAGCCGGUUUGGUCAGUCCUCCGGGAAAUCUGAUAGCUCAACUAUUAGGCUUUCGGGGGAUACUGCCAGACUUGGAACCGGGAGAGGUAAGAGGUACUACAGGGGUAGGAGUGAAAUCUUGUAAUCCCUGUGGGACCACCUGUGGCGAAGGCGUCUUACCAGAACGGGUUCGACGGUGAGGGACGAAAGCUGGGGGCACGAACCGGAUUAGAUACCCGGGUAGUCCCAGCCGUAAACGAUGCUCGCUAGGUGUCAGACAUGGCGCGACCGUGUCUGGUGCCGCAGGGAAGCCGUGAAGCGAGCCACCUGGGAAGUACGGCCGCAAGGCUGAAACUUAAAGGAAUUGGCGGGGGAGCAC